rnacentral:rRNA from 1 species
UACGUAGGGGGCAAGCGUUGUCCGGAAUCAUUGGGCGUAAAGAGCGUGUAGGCGGCUCGAUAAGUCUGCUGUGAAAGUCCAGGGCUCAACCCUGGAAGGCCGGUGGAAACUGUCGGGCUAGAGUCCGGAAGAGGCGAGUGGAAUUCCCGGUGUAGCGGUGAAAUGCGCAGAUAUCAGGAAGAACACCCGUGGCGAAGGCGGCUCUCUGGGACGGUACUGACGCUGAGACGCGAAAGCGUGGGGAGCAAACAGG